rnacentral:rRNA from 1 species
GAUGAACGCUGGCGGCGUGCCUAAUACAUGCAAGUCGAGCGAAUGGAUUAAGAGCUUGCUCUUAUGAAGUUAGCGGCGGACGGGUGAGUAACACGUGGGUAACCUGCCCAUAAGACUGGGAUAACUCCGGGAAACCGGAGCUAAUACCGGAUAACAUUUUGAACCGCAUGGUUCGAAAUUGAAAGGCGGCUUCGGCUGUCACUUAUGGAUGGACCCGCGUCGCAUUAGCUAGUUGGUGAGGUAACGGCUCACCAAGGCAACGAUGCGUAGCCGACCUGAGAGGGUGAUCGGCCAACCUGGGACUGAGACACGGCCCAGACUCCUACGGGAGGCAGCAGUAGGGAAUCUUCCGCAAUGGACGAAAGUCUGACGGAGCAACGCCGCGUGAGUGAUGAAGGCUUUCGGGUCGUAAAACCCUGUUGUUAGGGAAGAACAAGUGCUAGUUGAAUAAGCUGGCACCUUGACGGUACCUAACCAGAAAGCCACGGCUAACUACGUGCCAGCCGCCGCAGUAA